rnacentral:rRNA from 1 species
GACGGAGGAUGCAAGCGUUAUCCGGAAUUAUUGGGCGUAAAGCGUCCGUAGGCGGUUUCAAAAGUCUGUUGUUAAAGCCCACAGCUCAACUGUGGAUCGGCAAUGGAAACUGUGAGACUAGAGAGUGGUAGGGGUAGAGGGAAUUCCUAGUGUAGCGGUGAAAUGCGUAGAUAUAGGAAGGAACACCAGUGGCGAAGGCGACCACCUGGACUGAUACUGACACUGAGGUGCGAAAGCGUGGGGAGCAAACAGG